GGAGAUUUAGCUCAGUGAUAGAGCGUUUGCCUAGCAAGCGCAAGGCUCUGGGUUCGGUCCCCAGCUCCG
rnacentral:tRNA from 1 species